rnacentral:lncRNA from 1 species
GUCUUGGAUCGCUCAUGGCUCCUCCGAUGCUUGAUCACGAACACUUCUUUCCUCGGGUUGAUGUUUUCUUGUAUCUCUGCUUCGUUCUUGGGUUUUGAUUCUUCUACUUGGAGCUUCUUCGCCUGUGCUUCAGUCUCUGGUUUCAGAGGUUUAUCAAUGGCCGACUUGUUCGGAUCUGGGGAUACUCCACUCGGGGAAGAUGAUGAUGGAGAAGCCUUCUUGCUGAGGCAGCAACCCAUUUGUGAGAGAGAGUGUGUGAGAAAUUGGAUUGAUGAGAGAGAAGACAGAAACGAAAUUCAAAACUUCAAAUUCUGAGGAGAAGGAACAUUUUAAAAUGCUUUUAGUGGCAGAUAGAUACAGGUCGCUUUACUUUAUUAAUAUGGCUACUUACUUUCUAAAAUUACACAUAGCUCCCCCAAACACAAAAUCGCUCUUCAGUCAUGACUAGUGAGUCUUCAGAGCAUAUCAUUAAAAAUCUCAUGUUCUCAACUCAUAUAUAACUAAGAAAAACAUUAAAUUUAUCAAACUGAGUAUUUUAAAAUUAUAAGAUAUAUUGAUAUAAGUUUUUAAUUAUUUGAAGAUAUCAAUUACUAAAUAUUUAUAUUUUAUAUUCAUGCGUAGAUUUAAGUUAAACAUAUGCUCUUAUUGAACUAUACCCAAUCUGUGGACUAUAUUGAAAGUUUUGGAAAUUUUGAGGUGAAUUGAAAUAAACUUUUUUGGUCAAAGAGAGGUGAUAUUUGAAAUUUUCAACAGUUGGGCUACAAGAGAGCCGUUAUACGUGUAGAGCGAGAGACACAGAGGAGUCGAUGAUAAGGGUAUUUUUCCCACUUUGUCUUUUGAACUCCUUUGUCCAAAGGAAAAUCAUUUUUUAAUAUUUCAAAACAAUCUUUAUUUAAUUAUGUAAAUUAAAAUUUUCUAACGGCUAAAUGCAUGUUAUGUGUUUUUUGUCCGAUUAUGAAAAAGAAUCUGGGGAUGAUUUCUAUGGUAAUUAAAUAUCAAUGUUAUUCAGUGACAAUUGUUCUACAAAUAGACAAUACUGAACAACACACACAUUGACAAAAAAAAAAGAACAAACAACACAUUUUUGGUUUAUUUCUAUUUUUAAAUAACAAUGAAGUGUUCAAAAAAAAUAAAAAAAAAUAACAAUGCCUGGUUAGGAACUAGCCAAAGAACUAUGGUGGUUUGAAAUAAACCAAAAACAUAAGAGGCAGUGUGGGCAUUCUGGUUUAAUUUUGGGUCUGGUUUGGUUAAUUUAUGUUUGAUUAAACUGCAACAAUCUCACCCAAACUAAAUUUGGUUUAGUUCAAUUCGGUUUAAGUUGGUAUGGUUAUACAGUGAUUUUGUAUUAGUUGUGUUAGAAAUAAUUUAGUAAAAACUAGAAUAUGAAAGUCUAGUCGUAUGAAAUUUAUUGUAGCUAAAAAUCCAUUCAUUAAAAUCAAACUAUUCAACUAAGUAAACACUUAUAAGAACUAAGAAUUUGAAACAUUUAUUUUUUGUCGUAUAAAACAUCAGGGUUAGAAUUAAAGAAUAUAUAUAUAUAUAUAAUGUUAUACAUUUAUGAUAUUAAAAUUAAAAUUUGAAAGUUAAGAAAAAUAUAGAUAAACAUGGCUUUUAGUUAGAGAUUCCACAGAAUCCUCAUUGUAUAAUACAAUUAUUAAUAUAAAAUAAAUACAUUGGUUUGUUCGUUUGGUUUUCAGCGAACCAAAUUAUUUGGGUUGAGUAAAACUUCAACCGAUUGAGUUAUGUAUAAAGUAUGGAUUGAGUUGAGUUAAAUUUAAGACACUUGUCAUUUUUAAGACACUUGAAUAUUAAUUUUUAAAGAAAUAAGUUGGUAUGUUUCAAAAAAAUAAUAAUAAUAAUUAGUUGGUCCUCCUGAAUAUACUUCUGAACAUACAGUAAUAUAGUAGAAUUUUCAUUGAACUACUUGUAAAACUAAUUAUUAAUGUACACAAAUAUUCUUAUUUUUUUCUUAAAUAGAAAUUACAGUUACGUAAUGUGACUAAAAUGUACAUAACUUAAGCGGUUGAAGGUUUACUCAACCCAAAUAAUCAAGUGUCUUAAAAAUGACAAGUUUUUUAAAAUGUGGUUUUGCAGUUUUUGUUGGGAAAAUGCGUUUUUGACAGGAAAAUGAGUUUUUGCGUUUUUGGCAGAAAAAUGCAUUUGUUGUUUUGGCGAAAAAUGCAUUUUAUGGUUUUGGUGGAAAUAUGAUUUUCCAGUUUUGUUAUUUUUUGCGAGUGACAAAAUGAUAUUAGGUUUAUGAACGUAAUUUGUGAAUUAUAUAGGAGUAUAAUAAACUCAUCCAUAUGAAUCAUCUAGAUAAUUUGUAAUUUAAAGUGUAAGCAAACAAAACUCUCAUCUCCAUCCAGAUAGUUCAUCUGGAUGGUGAAACAAAAACCCCCUAGAUUAGUUUAAGGUUUAACUAGAGUUUGACUCGCACAUUCGUGCCGAUAUAUUUUUCAUUUUAUAAAUGUAUACAUUUGAUAUUAUCGUAACCAUUUUAAAUAUAUGAUUUACAUAUGAGUGUUAUAUAUUGUGUAACUUUAUAAUCUUAUUGUUUAGGUUUUUGGUUCAAGUCUCUGGUUUCAGAGGUUUAUCAAUGGCCGACUUGUUCGGAUCUGGGGAUACUCCACUCGGGGAAGAUGAUGAUGGAGAAGCCUUCUUGCUGAGGCAGCAACCCAUUUGUGAGAGAGAGUGUGUGAGAAAUUGGAUUGAUGAGAGAGAAGACAGAAACGAAAUUCAAAACUUCAAAUUCUGAGGAGAAGGAACAUUUUAAAAUGCUUUUAGUGGCAGAUAGAUACAGGUCGCUUUACUUUAUUAAUAUGGCUACUUACUUUCUAAAAUUACACAUAGCUCCCCCAAACACAAAAUCGCUCUUCAGUCAUGACUAGUGAGUCUUCAGAGCAUAUCAUUAAAAAUCUCAUGUUCUCAACUCAUAUAUAACUAAGAAAAACAUUAAAUUUAUCAAACUGAGUAUUUUAAAAUUAU